GAUGAACGCUAGCGGCAGGCUUAACACAUGCAAGUCGAGGGGUAACAGGAUAGCUUGCUAUUGCUGACGACCGGCGCACGGGUGCGUAACGCGUAUAGAACCUACCUUAUAGUAAGGGAUAGCCCAGAGAAAUUUGGAUUAAUACCUUAUAGUAUCUUAAGUGAGCAUUCACUAAGGAUUAAAGAUUUAUUGCUAUAAGAUGGCUAUGCGUUCUAUUAGUUAGUUGGUGUGGUAACGGCACACCAAGACAUCGAUAGAUAGGGGUCCUGAGAGGGAGAUCCCCCACACUGGUACUGAGACACGGACCAG
rnacentral:rRNA from 1 species